UACAGGACAGCUGCGGUCACACUUUGGCUAUAUCCAACUCUGGAUCAUUAAGUUGUCUUUACCUGGGUGCUGGCCACCCUCCUUCAUAAAGAGAUUGUGUCUAACAUAGUGGACAGUAUGUGUCUUCACAGAUAACCAAUUAACCAAGAAAAGAACAAAAAAAUAGAAAAACCACCAUCACCAUAAAGCAAAGAAGAAAAGAGAAAGAAAAAGGAAAAAAAUAAACCAAGCCACCUGUACUGGAACAAGAGGUUAUCUGUACAUUUGAAUAAACCUGUAGCUACUGUUAAUAUCCUGUUAGAACAUUUUUUAA